ACGCACGCUGGCGGCGUGCUUAACACCUGCAAGUCGAGCGGUAAGGCCUUUCGGGGUACACGAGCGGCGAACGGGUGAGUAACACGUGGGUGAUCUGCCCUGCACUUCGGGAUAAGCCUGGGAAACUGGGUCUAAUACCGGAUAUGACCUCCUAUCGCAUGGUGGGUGGUGGAAAGAUUUAUCGGUGCAGGAUGGGCCCGCGGCCUAUCAGCUUGUUGGUGGGGUAAUGGCCUACCAAGGCGACGACGGGUAGCCGACCUGAGAGGGUGACCGGCCACACUGGGACUGAGACACGGCCCAGACUCCUACGGGAGGCAGCAGUGGGGAAUAUUGCACAAUGGGCGAAAGCCUGAUGCAGCGACGCCGCGUGAGGGAUGACGGCCUUCGGGUUGUAAACCUCUUUCAGCAGGGACGAAGCGCAAGUGACGGUACCUGCAGAAGAAGCACCGGCUAACUACGUG
rnacentral:rRNA from 1 species